GCAAUUGUGAGAGGAAGAAGAAAAGGUGGAGAGAGAAAACAAAAAGAGAAAAAAAUAAGAAAAAAAGAAGUAAACGAAUAGGGGGACAUAGGUCGCCACUAAAGUUAAGGUGUGUAAAUGAUUUUUCCGGACAAGUUUGAUGGGUAAUUUAUGUAUUAUCUCUUAAAAAAAUAGUGGAAUGAGAAAACUAAUAGAGUCGCAUCUUGUCGAGGCAACUUGGAUGGCCGAUGAUAUCAUGCAAGCGGUUUUGCAGCCAUGGCCGACCUGAUUUUGGCUUCAAUAUGCGAUACUCGACUCACGCCACAAAAGGCAAUUAGGAGCAGAAAAUUAGAAAGAGGAAGAAGAAUUUUGUAUGCAAAGAAACAAAGAAAGAGGAAAAGGGAAGAAGAAGAGGAGAUGUGGCAGAAGAUGAAGAAAAGAGGGGAAGGUGAGAGAAAGGCUAAGGUAUGGAAUGGUACAACCCCUUUUCUCUGUAAUAUUAGGUCAAAAUUCGAUUUUAUUUCUCUCUGUAUAUAAAUAACACAUAUUUGUAUAAUCACUCCUUAAAUUUCACUCCUCGAAUUCCCCAAACCCCAAUUUCUAGUUUUUGUUCCCUAAGUAAUUGUAAUCAAAAUUCUAUUUUGUUUCUCUCUUUGUAAUCAAUUUCUAGAUUGGGGCAUACACAGGUGAGAGAAGGUACAGGGUAAUUGGAGACGAGAAAGAACUCACCGGCGAGAAUUCCCGGUGGUCGGAGGAAACGGGAAAAGCAUGAUGAUUUUUAUGUUUGAAUUUUAUUUUUAUUUUUUAUUUUAAUUAUUUUUAAUCUACCAUGUGACAUGGCAUCUACAAAUUAUUAUUUUCUGACGUGGCAGCCAACGUGGAGGAGAUUGUAUCACACGCACGGACAGCCUCCUGUCAUAAGCGUUUAUUAUAUACGGUUUGAAGGAAUGUAAGGGUUCAAUUGGCAAAUUGUUAAGUUUGGGGACCGGCAUGACAAAAUGACACAAGUAUAGGUGCCAUUUAGGCCAUUCUGCCUUUCAAUCUCUCAUCUUUCUCAACACUUUAUGUCUUGAAUAUACACCUUUUGAAGCA